rnacentral:rRNA from 1 species
AUUGAACGCUGGCGGCAGGCCUAACACAUGCAAGUCGAGCGGAUGAAGGGAGCUUGCUCCUGGAUUCAGCGGCGGACGGGUGAGUAAUGCCUAGGAAUCUGCCUGUUAGUGGGGGAUAACGUCCGGAAACGGGCGCUAAUACCGCAUACGUCCUGAGGGAGAAAGUGGGGGAUCUUCGGACCUCACGCUAUCAGAUGAGCCUAGGUCGGAUUAGCUAGUUGGUGGGGUAAAGGCCUACCAAGGCGACGAUCCGUAACUGGUCUGAGAGGAUGAUCAGUCACACUGGAACUGAGACACGGUCCAGACUCCUACGGGAGGCAGCAGUGGGGAAUAUUGGACAAUGGGCGAAAGCCUGAUCCAGCCAUGCCGCGUGUGUGAAGAAGGUCUUCGGAUUGUAAAGCCCUUUAAGUUGGGAGGAAGGGCAGUAAGUUAAUACCUUGCUGUUUUGACGUUACCAACAGAAUAAGCACCGGCUAACUUCGUG